GGAGGCCACAGCAAGUGGCCACUCCAGUAUUCUUACCUGGAGAAUCCCAUGGACAGAAGAGCCUGGCAGGCUACAGUCCAUAGGGUUGCAAAGAGUCAGACAGGACUGAAGCAACUUAGCAGGAGCACGAAGCAUCUAGACCACCAAUGUCCACUAAGAAUAUAAAGUGAGCCAUAUAUGCGAUCUUGCAUUUUCUAUUUUAAAAUUAGAAAGAAAGAGGUGAAAUUAAUUUAAUUUACCAUAGUAUAUCUUACUUAAUCCAGGAUAACCAAAACACACUGUAAUUUCAACAUGAAAUCUAUAUAAAAUAUGAAUGAGAUAUUUUUUGUUUUUCUUCUUAUUAAAUCUUUGAAAUCCACUCUGCGUUUUAUACUUCCUGCACACCACGUCUCCUUUCAGGAAAGCUGCAUUUAAAGUACCCAAUAGCCACACAUGUGAAGUGGCUAUUUUACUGUGGUCUGUGGACCAGUGGCAUAGCUGUUCCCUGCAAGUUUAUUACAAACUUAGGUUCUCAGAUCCACCCCAUUUCUACUGAGUCAGAAUCUUCACUUUAACUAGAUGCACAGAGGAGUCACGAGCAUGUGAAGAUUGGAGAAGCACGUUCUUCACCAUUUUAUUGCUGCUGCUCCAGGGUGCCUGUUCGCUGCCUCCUUGCAGGAUCCUGGAUUGAUGCCUGUUACAUGGCAGCCAUCUGCGAGGUAACGCUGAGGCCAGAGUUACAUCAUGAAGAGUCCAUGCUUUGGGAUGAGGGAAGGACUACUACAUGGAGAAAGAGGGAGGUUGUCACCAAGCAAGAUGCUGGGCCUGACGCCAUCACCUCCCUGAAAUGAUGGCAGCUUCCAGCCAGCCUUCAUCCUUCCAUCCUUACAAAGCUACACCUGAUGACCAUGUGUCAUAAAGCCUGGAAUGUCCAGGAAAAGAGAACUCACCAAACUUGAGAUCUGCCUUCCUCUUGAUAUGCAAGGGACAAGAUUUGUCAGUUGGAGAUGACCAGACAUCACUUACGAACUUUCAGAAAAAUAAGGAAUCUUGGACAUAUAGUGAUUCUACCAGUAGUAUUCCAGUCCAGGGUAUGACAGGUGCUGCCAGUACUAAGCUAACUGAAGAGAAUAUUUUUUGAGAGUCUUCCUGUUUGUGUGCAUCUCUCUCAGGGAACCACAUGGAAAACAAAUGUCUGGGCCUUCUAUAAUCAUCACCAGCUGGUCCUCUGGAGCAAUGUCUGUUCAGCCAGACCUUGCCGAGCGACUUUACAAGUUUCUGUCCAGUGGCGAUUGGGUGACUUUCCUUCAUUCAGACCACAAGCAACAGUGCAAGCUGUACACAUGAAACCGUGCCAUGAAAUUUCCUCCAUGCCAUUUUUCCUGUUUGCCUCUACUCUCUGAUUACCAGUUAAAAUUUUACAGGAAAGCCAACUGAGUACAAAAAAAUAUUUCUUACAAAGGUGUGUGGGAUCUUAGGUCAUGGACCAGGGAUUGAACCCAAUCCCCCUGCACUGGAAGGCAAAGUGUUAACCACUGGACCACUAGGGAAGCUCCUAUUUAUGUGCUUUUGAAACAGCUUAAAAAAAAAACCACAAAAAACUGGCAUAGUGCUUUGAAAACUUCAGCUCUGGAGUCAGAUUUUCCUGGGUUUGAAUUCUGGCUUUCCCACUUCUAGCCAUGAAUCCUUGAGCUAACUGCUUCACUGCUUUAAUCCUCAGUGUCCUCAUCUGUAAAGCAGGAAGACAGUAACACUCGUCUUAUUGGACUAUUGGAAGAGUUCAAUGGAUGGAAAACGCUGGGCAAAACAGAUGGAACAUAGUCAGUCCGUGGAAUCCAUGGGGUUGCAAAGCGUCAGACAUGACUCAGCGACUUAACAACAAUAUGCUCGAUAAAGUAUUCCCUGUCAUUAUCUUCUCUUUCUUUAUAAGGUGGGAUAUUAAUACACGAGUUAGAUAAAUAGAAGAAUGACAGGUACAAGUCAUUUUUUAAAAUGUAUGUAUUUUUAAUUGAAGGGUAAUUGCUUCACAGUAUUGUGUUGGCUUCUGCCAAACAUCAGCGUGAAUCAGUCACAGGUAUGUUAUGUCCCCUCCUCUUGAACUU